rnacentral:rRNA from 1 species
GACGAACGCUGGCGGCGUGCCUAAUACAUGCAAGUCGAACGGUCUUUUCUAUGGAAGUUUGCUUCCACUGAGAAGAUAGUGGCGAACGGGUGAGUAACACGUGGGUAACCUGCCCAUAAGAGGGGGAUAACAUCCGGAAACGGGUGCUAAUACCGCAUAGGUUUCCUGAUCGCAUGAUCGAGAAAGGAAAGACGGCCUUUGUGCUGUCGCUUAUGGAUGGACCCGCGGCGUAUUAGUUAGUGGGUGAGGUAACGGCUCACCAAGACGAUUAUACGUAGCCGACCUGAGAGGGUGAUCGGCCACAUUGGGACUGAGACACGGCCCAAACUCCUACGGGAGGCAGCAGUAGGGAAUCUUCCGCAAUGGACGAAAGUCUGACAGAGCAACGCCGCGUGAGUGAAGAAGGUUUUCGGAUCGUAAAACUCUGUUGUCAGAGAAGAACAAGUCGGAGAGUAACUGCUCCGGCCUUGACGGUAUCUGACCAGAAAGCCACGGCUAACUACGUGCCAGCCGCCGCCGUAACAC